UUCCCUCGCGAUGCAGAGCAUAUGAGGACGGGAAACAACGAAAUAAAGUGUUUAAUCCUACGCACAAAGUGUGUUUUGUAAUAUCAUAUCGUUGUAUAAUGAUAUUAAUGUGCUGUAUGCCGCUAAACUUUUCUCAAAGACAUUUUUUUCCACUCGCGAUGCGGAACAGACGAGAGCUGUGUACUCCUAAACUUCUUCUCAGAGUGAUAACGUUAAGGUUAUUUCCUUUCACUCGCGAUGCGGAGCAGACAGGGUAUUUAGCAAGGAAACACCAAAAAUUUGAAUUGCUAUGUAGUGUUGAGGUGGAGGUCGCUUUUAACAGGGAAACGUAAGAAAUCUCAAUUGCUACGCAGUGCUGACGUAGAGAUCAUUUUUAAUAGGAAAAAGCAAUAUUUUCUUUCACUCACGAUGCGGAGCAGACAGGGAAGUUGGUUUUAUCAAGGAAAACACAGAAAGUAAGUGUUUUACCUCAUUUACAUUAUGUAUAUUACUUUAUGACCACAUUAAUAUGUUGUGUACACCUGUUGUGUUUCUUACAGAUCUCAAUUGCUACGCUGUGCUGACGUAGAGAUCAUUUUUAACAGAGAAAGUGUUUUAUCUCAUUUAUUAAAUUUGUAUUUUAUAAGGUCAUAUUGAUUUAUAGUGAUAUUUAUGUGCUGCACUCUCCUUAACUUUUUCUCAGAGAGAUAUUUUCUUUCAAUCACGAUGCGGAGCAGACGGGAAAGUUGGUUUUAUCAAGGAAAAUGCCAAAAAGAUCUGAAUUGCUAUGCAGUGCUGAGGUGGAGGUCGCUUUU